UACGUAGGUGGCAAGCGUUGUCCGGAAUUAUUGGGCGUAAAGCGCGCGCAGGCGGCCUCUUAAGUCUGAUGUGAAAGCCCCCGGCUCAACCGGGGAGGGCCAUUGGAAACUGGGAGGCUUGAGUAUAGGAGAGAAGAGUGGAAUUCCACGUGUAGCGGUGAAAUGCGUAGAGAUGUGGAGGAACACCAGUGGCGAAGGCGACUCUUUGGCCUAUAACUGACGCUGAGGCGCGAAAGCGUGGGAGCAACAGG
rnacentral:rRNA from 1 species